GGGUUGUGAGGUUAAGCGACUAAGCGUACACGGUGGAUGCCCUGGCAGUCAGAGGCGAUGAAGGACGUGCUAAUCUGCGAUAAGCGCCGGUAAGGUGAUAUGAACCGUUAUAACCGGCGAUUUCCGAAUGGGGAAACCCAGUGUGAUUGGUCACACUAUCAUUAACUGAAUCCAUAGGUUAAUGAGGCGAACCGGGGGAACUGAAACAUCUAAGUACCCCGAGGAAAAGAAAUCAACCGAGAUUCCCCCAGUAGCGGCGAGCGAACGGGGAGGAGCCCAGAGCCUGAAUCAGCAUGUGUGUUAGUGGAAGCGUCUGGAAAGGCGCGCGAUACAGGGUGACAGCCCCGUACACAAAAGCGCAUGUGCUGUGAGCUCGAUGAGUAGGGCGGGACACGUGGUAUCCUGUCUGAAUAUGGGGGGACCAUCCUCCAAGGCUAAAUACUCCUGACUGACCGAUAGUGAACCAGUACCGUGAGGGAAAGGCGAAAAGAACCCCGGCGAGGGGAGUGAAAAAGAACCUGAAACCGUGUACGUACAAGCAGUGGGAGC
rnacentral:rRNA from 1 species